UUCUCUAAUGGUCUUCAAUAAAGUGAUUACAUCAUCUUGAGUGUUUGCUGGCAUGGACAAAAUAUACCUUAGUACCAAAACAGUUUUUACAUUAUUUUUUGGUUUUUACCUCCAUCACUUUCCACUACACCCAAGCAGCACAGUGUCGUUAUAAUGACGUCAAUUAUUGGACAUUAUUAGUCGGCGACGUCGUAGACCAAUAAGCGACGUCCAUAUGACGUGACAUUUCAGAUGUCAUUUUGACGUCGUCUAGAGACGUCUUUCGUACGUUUGUUUUCGGUCGUUUUAAGUGCUUUUUAAUCAACUAUAAAAAAAAUUAGAACGAAAGUUUAUUACAAAAACUAAGCCCUAUACGUGCUUUAUAAAAAAUUGUACAUUUUAAAUUGUUGUUUACCUAAAAUUUGGAUAUAAAUAUAAAUUCAUUAAUUAGCAAUGAAAAUACUAAACUGACGUUUUAAGUGGAAAUGCAAUUUGAAUUUAAAGAUGAAGUGAGAAUGUUGUAAUUAACAAUUAUUUAACUAUUUUAUUAGUAGGAAACAAUUAUUUUUAGCAUCGAUUCCUGUCGAGGCUGUCGACCAAGAUUUAAUUUUGGCGCGUUUUUAAUCGAAAUGCCACGAUACGAUACGAGACGUGCAGGCGCAUGCGUGCUGGACUGCUGGUGUGAACGCGUGUGCGCGUAAUGGCGGACGGCAGCAAAAAGUUGUUUGGCGGCAAUUUCACGGAAAUCCAGUAACUCUAGCAUUUCCGGGGCGAUUCUUGUUAAUUUCGGCCGUGGCAACAAAUUUUUCAAAACGACUAUAAGAUUGCGGAGAAAAAAAUUAAAAAGGCUGAAAUUACCUCAGAUUUAACUACAGAUGCUGAGGAAUCAGCAAUUAUUUCACCUCGAAGGAAAAUACGUCCAAAGAAAUUUUCCACUGAUGAUGAGCAGGAAGAAGUGCUGUCAUCAUCAGAAGAUGAUUUUCCAAAAAACAAGAAACCCCUACCUAGACCAAAACCAAUAAUACGGAAGUCUAUUACAAACAUAUUAUCUGAUUAUUCUGGCCCAAUUCAAACUUUUCCAUUAGCUUCAGCUGGACAAUCGCAAAGGUCGUUUGAGGAUAGUGAUUCUACAAAUCAACUUUAUUAUUUGCCACCUCAACAUUCAGCAAAAGAUACUCAAUUGACUAAAUCUUCAGGACAAAUUAUUAGAGGUUCUGCGUCAAAUCAGUCAUUUUGCCAGGCUGCUGUUUCGAACUCGUCACCAUAUAAUCCGUCAACUAGUAAAGCAACUGAUGUACAGAGCAACAUCAGAGCUGCAGCUCUGAUGUUGCUCCACUACAUG